ACUACCAUGACUACCAAAGAGAUCUACAAUACAAUCCAUGUUGGAGGGACAAUCCGAAUUAUGGCUAUGCAAGGGCUGACUACUACCAAAACUAUCAAGCCCAAGCAACACCUCAAAACUCCCAUAUGGAACUUGAAGAGAUGGUGAGAAAAUUGGAAAUUUCUGGAAAAAUUCUCCAACAGCAAGUGGAUCAAGCGGUCAACUCAAUGAACGCGCACAUAUUAAGAAGAGAGGAAGAGCUUCAAGAUCUAUGGGACGAUGACGAAGAAACAGACCAAGCUGCUGCGUCUGCUGCACAAAUCACCACUACA
rnacentral:lncRNA from 1 species